ensembl:lncRNA
AUGCAGGCUUAUCCGCCCCGUGAGCAUCCCCCGCCGCAGUCGCACCCACGGGCGCGGCUCGCCGUGGGCGGGCCGGGGUCAGUCCCACGCACGUUUCCUCCCCACCCCAACCACCGCACCGCCAGGCCGUGCCCCCGGCUCCGUCCUGCACCCCGGGGGUGCCCCAGUGCCACUCGCUGGGCCCCCGCUGCCCGCCAGCCCCCAGCCCGCUGCCGCUCCCGCCGAGCCCCGCAGCCCGGACCGCGGCUCCCGUCCUGCCGCCGCCUCCCGCCCCGCACUGACCUGCUGGGGGUCCCGGCCGCGCUCGCUUCGGGCCCUGCGCCCGCCGCCUCCCUCCUCCCCUCCCCGCGUCGCCUCGGGCUGCCCGGCACCGGCCCGGGCCCGGCACCGGCACCGGCAGGGAAGGGGAAGGGGCCGCGGCCGCCGCCGCUCCGCCCCCCGCCCGCCCCGCUGCGGCGGAGAGGCCGCGGUCCGCGGGCUGCGGUGCCCGGGCUGCUCCCCCCGCCUCACCGGUGCUGGGCCCCGGGGCCUGCGCCGCCGGAGCUCCGGGGCCCGCGCGGGGAGCCGCAGCCUCCUCCCGGUCCGAGGCGGGGUCGGGCAGCCCCCGCCGCUCUGCCUACCGUGCGCCCCGCGGCAUCCGUGCGGGAGGAGGCGGCGGCCCCGGCGCUCGGAGCGGGGAGCGGGCGGGGAGCUGCCGGCAGAACGCCUGGCUGCGGGGUCUGCGCCUCUCGGGCUAUUUCUGGGUGUGAGGCUGUGCCCGCCGCAUCCGCCGCUCCGAGCAGCGUCCGCGGCGCUCGGGCUCCUCGGGAUGGCUGCCCGGCGUGUGCCCCCGGGGCGAGCGGAACGAGCCUCCGGGGCCAUCAGCCAGGGCACACGGGGGGUCAGCCUCGCAGUAGGGGCAGGUCUCUGCCUUCAUCAGGAAUGACCAGCAGGAGAGAGGAGAACCUGACCCAUCAGGUGCAAAGAGCCUUUAUUCCGUGAGCAUCCCAUCUCCAAUCCGUGAGAAUACAGGCAGCGCACUCUGUGCUGGAGAAACCACCCAUAGCACCCUCAGGGCUGCAGUACUGGGUGUCUGCACGGCCAGCACUGUUCUGACUGAUGGUCAGAGACACAUCUGCAAGUGGGCUACCAAGGAACAGUCACCAGAAUGUGACUGAAGAGGUCUCACUGGCAUGUCAAGUUCUUCAUUGCUCCCACCUCCCACCCAUUGUAUGGGGACAUGGGGCCCCACAUCCAUGACUUCUCCAGAUGCUGAGUAAGUAGUGUUGUUCUGCAGCAUCCUCUGAAGGCUUGUUUUGGCUCAUUUCAUCUGUUUUGGGCUGAAGAAGCACAGUCCAGUGGUUAAACUCCAGCCAUUUAAGUAAAGGACCUUCCAGUCUCAAAAGCACAGCUAUGGAAGUCACCAGGAGAAGCAUCAGGGAAUUAGCAUAAUACAACAGUUGCCAGCAAAAAUCCUCAUUCAUACUGCUAGUGGAAAUGGCUGGUACAGCUCACAGGCCAUGAGGAACCAAGGGGUGAAAGCCUGGUAUCCCCUGUAGUGUAUUUCCUUUUUUAGGCUCCCCAAGGCUGAGGUAGCACUCAGCCAACUUCUGGUCUGCUGGAGCAUGGUGCAGAGCACAGGUUGCUACCUGGAGCUACCAUUGCCCAAACAACACAUGCUUAAAACUUUAAGGAACAGCUGAAUUAUAAAAAAUAUUUCCAAAUCUCUUUCCCUGCUGUCUUCUUUAGCUAUAUGUAUGACGAGCAGAAGCCACACAGCUUGCCCUCUCACUCCAGACAAGCGAGUGCCAGUCCUACAGCAUCACGGAGGCUUGGAGACCUGGACUGCUGCUGUGCAUCAAGGGACACUGUCCACUUCAGGAGAGAGCAGAGACGACUGUGCCAGCUUAGUAAUGGGAACUUGUGGGAGAAACAAAUCCAUGGGGAUUUUCUAAAAUGCCUCAUGACUGUGAUCUGGCGACUGGGCCCCCAGUAUUUGAUCCCCUACUUCUGAGCAAGUAAAGACUACCUUUCAUAAGCCGUGGCUUCUCUGACUUACUGAUCUGGAAGCCAACAUGUUUCAUCACUUAAAUUGGCAAAUACUGCUGGGAAAUGUCGACUUCUGAGCAGAUCUGGCAACCUUGCUGCUGGUGAGCUGCCCCAGUCCCAAAGGAACACCCUCUCCUCUUCCUUUGGCCUGCCAAGACAUGAGGAAUCACACAAAGCUGGACAAACAUAGCCUGUGUCUAAGGCAUCCCCUGGAGAUACUUGUUUCUUUCUGCCUCUGGCCCAAAUUGUGCCUAGUUGGAAUAGAAGAAUAGAAUAGAAUAGAAUAGAAUAGAAUAGAAUAGAAUAGAAUAGAAUAGAAUAGAAUAGAAUAGAAUAGAAUAGAAUAAUAAACAAAAAAAGGAAAUACAGAGCAGCCCCAAAACAGAGAAAAACUCCUUCAUUUUCUGUUACAUACAGGGCCUCAGUGGCCAUGAUUUUGGCCCAAGAAGAGCCUUACAGGUGUGGUCUCACAAGGGCUCAGGUAUCUCAUGGUUUUUAAGUCCUCCACAUGCCUGAGAAGCAUGAGUGGUGUGUGGCUCAGCUCCAGCUCUGUGCGUGAAGGAGCACAAUACCUCCUUCCUGCAUUGCUUAUAACCCUGCAGCAGUGCAGGAGAGACAUGGAACUCCAGCCAGAGGCAGCAGGAGGAUGAGGUACAGGGAGCUGCUUGUCAGCUGGGACUGUAGCACUGCAUCCUGCUGUUGGUUUGAAUCUCCCAAUUGUAAUUCCUAUUUUCCAUCAUUUAUGGCUUUAAUAUUUACACUGAAUUUCUCCAGGCAGACUGAGGGACUCAGGCUGAAUUUGUCUAGACACAUUUCAAGCAAGAUGAUGCAACUGUUCCUGAGAACGACAUCUGUGGGAAAAGGCUAUUGUGUCUAUGAUUUUUUUUAAAGGCUGUUGGUUCACCCUUGGGCAGCACCUGUGUCUCUGAGCUUUAGAGCCAAAUGCUGGCAAAGGUGUGGACUUUAGCUGGAGAUGGGCCUUUGAAUACCCCUUUGGAGCUGAUGCUUGUGAAACUGGAAAACUGCAAUUUGCCCAGAGCAGCAGCAAACUUUAAAGGUCAGGGAAUGAAAACACCCUCUAGUCCUUGAUCCCUGCACCUGGAUCCAGCUUGACUGUGUUUGUGUCCCUGGCUGACAGCCCAGCUUGGCAUGGCCCAUGGCACUGCCAGGAUAUCCCCAUGCUGGCUGCUCCAAAGCAGGAUGAGGCCAGCUGGAGCGUGAUGAGCACAGCAUGUGAGCCCGUGGCAAAUGCUUGUCUGUAGGCAAACGUCGAAGAGAGCCCUGACCUCCCUGGUGCAGAGGUGGGAGCCAGUGCAGGGUUCCAUGGGGCUCUGCAGGGUGGCCAGGCCUGGAUACAGAACCUGGGAGGUGAGGCUUGACAUGGGCAAAACCACAAAAUGGCAUAGCACAGUCCUGCAUGUGGUCCCAGACUUUCUUAUCUGCAAACUGCUUCUAGGAGAGAAUCACUUAUUUCCCUGGAGGGCUGAUAGAAUCAUUACAUUAUUUUCACGCUGCAAAAGCAGGAAUGAAUUUCUUCUCAUCCCUGACAAGUGGGGGAUUAUCCCCUGGGAAGAGGUGGAAGCUCACACCUGCGGAGGUCGGAGCUACGCUCACCCCGCGGUGCUGGUUGGAUUCCCCCUGGUACGGCACUGCAGCCCUUCCGAGCCGGCUCCAGUCCCGGCCGUGGGCGCCCGGCAUUCCUGCGAUCUGGACUCCGGGCACCGGGCGGACCCACGGGAAGGGGAGCCCAGGCAGUUCAGACACGGUGCAACUGGCUGGGGAAGCCCGAGCCCCGCCAGAGCUGUGUCUCCCCAGACCUGCCGGCCUUUCCUAGCGCUGCCUGCCUCCUUCCCGGAAUAUCUGCUGCCUGCCGUAACUAAGGAAACGGAGCUCCUGUCGGCAGCAGCUCCUCGCAGUGCGCACAUCGGAGGGCGGGGGAGCUGCGGGCACCACCGCGGGCUGAGACAGCCCCAGCCCGGCCAGGGCACGCCAGCUGCCCCACAGCCCCCUCCCAGAGCCCGAAGGAGGGGCAGCACCUCCCGCACACAGCCCUCUGUGCCCUCCGCUGGGGCUGCCUGGCGGGGACCCCCGGGCACAAGCAAGGUGCUUCUCCCUUCCCACACGAGACCGUGGGACUUAUGCUGUGCCAAAGGAGAAGCUACAACAGCUGCAGCAGAGGCUGAGCUACCAUCGCACCAGCCACCUCAGUUCCGUUAAUUAAAAAAGUUAAUUUCUUAAUUUUCAAGUGCUCGCCCCAGACCUUCUCAGGGUUCUUUGAAGGUAGCUUGCCAUUGGGAAUAGCUGAGAAACCGGGGCCGCAGCUAUUACACUGGGAAAUCGUCUCUCCCCCAUGCCAGCUCCCUCGUGGUUUGGUGUCUGCAUGCUUAUAAUUUCAAAUCUGCUUCAAAAAUCACCCACCACCCAGGCAGCAUGACCAUGCACUAAUCAGUUGCAUUAAAAUAUGCUAAUUGGCUCUUUCCAAUUGCCAGUCAGGCGGGACAGUGUGGUUCAGUACUUGCAGGCACAGGAUUUCUCUGUGGCUCUGUAUCUCUGUUCUUUGGCUGGCCUGGGUAAGCAAGAUAUUCCCAUGGUACUUCCCAGACACCACCAGCCAUGCUCCAAAAGACAUGGGCAGCUCAAGUUGUCCAAGUCCUCAGUACAGCCUAAUCCCAAUAUGCUCAUCUUCACAAACACCAUCUCCAGCCCUCCUGGCUAUCAGCCGCUGCUGCCUGCAGCAGUGUCUCUGUGCAUGCUCCCACCUGCUCCUGCAUCGCCACAAGUAAAUGGUGCAGCUUCUUGCUUGGGGCUUUCCUCUCUUCACCCCAACAUCCAGCCACUAAUCAAAUGUUCCUCCACUUUAUCCUACCCUGAUACUGCGCUAGCAACAUGGAAGAGUUCAUUUACCUCCUUGAAGAAGGACAGGGGAGAGCUAGACAUUCAGGCUUGCACUUGAUAGCCCCAAUCCAGCUUUUGUACAUCAAACAUCCUUGCAUUAUUCUGCAAAUAGAUAGUCUGCACUUCCUCAGAGGUCAGGCCUGCUGCUCACCUACCCUCAACACCAGACGUUCUGACACGGUGUAUGGCCCCCUAUGUCUGCUCUCAAAGCCUAGGACAUGCUGUGUCACUUCCUUGUGGAGAUGGAUGCAGAAAGGAACAUGGGUUCAUUUACUCUGUGUAAAAUGCAUCUCCCUCACUUAGACAAAUGUGUAUGAGAGAGAAACAGAAUAAAUACAUAGUUAUAUGGAGCUUGAAAUGGAGGUCAUGGAUCAGAGUGAAA